UACGUAGGGUGCGAGCGUUAAUCGGAAUUACUGGGCGUAAAGCGUGCGCAGGCGGUUUUGUAAGCCAGAUGUGAAAUCCCCGGGCUUAACCUGGGAAUGGCAUUUGGGACUGCAAGGCUCGAGUGCGGCAGAGGAGACUGGAAUUCCUGGUGUAGCAGUGAAAUGCGUAGAUAUCAGGAGGAACACCGAUGGCGGAGGCAGGUCUCUGGGCUGACACUGACGCUCAUGCACGAAAGCGUGGGGAGCAAACAGG
rnacentral:rRNA from 1 species